GCUGCGGUGUCCAAGUGGUUAAGGACAUGGACUCGAAAUCCAUUGGUCUUAGCCAUAGAUUCGAAUUUUUUUCACAGCG